rnacentral:lncRNA from 1 species
GCAAAGAGCGGACAGAUUUCAAGCUUGGACUCUGAAGAAGGCAAUAGCUAUCAUGAUGAUGGACAAGCAUCAUUGGAAACCCCAGAGGUUCAAGGUAUAGGGAAGGUCGCAAGGCACCAAAGGGAAGAGGAUGGAAGAAAAAGAAAGAUGAUAAGAAAACUGCAGCACUGAGACAUCCCCAUCACAGCACGUGGCUGCUCCUAGAACCUUCCAGAACCUGAGCCCUCUUUCAUCUGCAGCCUCCUGCGUAUUGGCAGGCACUGGUGUUUGUUCCUGGCACUGCUGC